AUUGAACGCUGGCGGCAGGCCUAACACAUGCAAGUCGAACGGAUCCUUCGGGAUUAGUGGCGGACGGGUGAGUAACACGUGGGAACGUGCCUUUUGGUUCGGAACAACUCAGGGAAACUUGAGCUAAUACCGAAUGUGCCCUUCGGGGAAGAUUUAUCGCCAUUAGAGCGGCCCGCGUCUGAUUAGCUUGUUGGUGAGGUAAAGGCUCACCAAGGCUACGAUCAGUAGCUGGUCUGAGAGGAUGAUCAGCCACAUUGGGACUGAGACACGGCCCAAACUCCUACGGGAGGCAGCAGUGGGGAAUCUUGCGCAAUGGGCGAAAGCCUGACGCAGCCAUGCCGCGUGAAUGAUGAAGGUCUUAGGAUUGUAAAAUUCUUUCACCGGGGACGAUAAUGACGGUACCCGGACGAAGAAGCCCCGGCUAACUUCGUGCCAGCAGCCGCGGUAAGGUGACGCUCU
rnacentral:rRNA from 1 species